AGAGUUUGAUCCUGGCUCAGAUUGAACGCUGGCGGCAUGCUUUACACAUGCAAGUCGAACGGUAACAGGGAGCUUGCUCCGCUGACGAGUGGCGAACGGGUGAGUAAUGCGUCGGAACGUGCCGAGUAGUGGGGGAUAACGCAUCGAAAGGUGUGCUAAUACCGCAUACGUACUGAGGUAGAAAGUGGGGGACCUUCGGGCCUCACGCUAUUCGAGCGGCCGACGUCUGAUUAGCUAGUUGGUGAGGUAAAGGCUCACCAAGGCGACGAUCAGUAGCGGGUCUGAGAGGAUGAUCCGCCACACUGGGACUGAGGCACGGCCCAGACUCCUACGGGAGGCAGCAGUGGGGAAUUUUGGACAAUGGGCGCAAGCCUGAUCCAGCCAUGCCGCGUG
rnacentral:rRNA from 1 species